rnacentral:rRNA from 1 species
UACAGAGACUGCAAGCGUUAUUCGGAUUCACUGGGCGUAAAGGGUGCGCAGGCGGCCAAGUGUGUCAGGGGUGAAAUCCCGGGGCUUAACUCCGGAACUGCGCCUGAAACUACUUGGCUAGAGCAUUGGAGAGGGAAGUGGAAUUCACGGUGUAGCAGUGAAAUGCGUAGAUAUCGUGAGGAACACCAGAGGCGAAGGCGACUUCCUGGACAAUUGCUGACGCUCAGGCACGAAAGCGUGGGGAGCCAAAGGG